CCUACGGGAGGCAGCAGUGAGGAAUAUUGGUCAAUGGGCGCGAGCCUGAACCAGCCAAGUAGCGUGAAGGAUGACUGCCCCACGGGUUGUAGACUUCUUUUAUAAAGGAAUAAAGUGAGGCACGUGUGCCUUUUUGUAUGUACUUUAUGAAUAAGGAUCGGCUAACUACGUGCCAGCAGCCGCGGUAAUACGGAGGAUCCGAGCGUUAUCCGGAUUUAUUGGGUUUAAAGGGAGCGUAGAUGGGUUGUUAAGUCAGUUGUGAAAGUUUGGGGCUCAACCGUAAAAUUGCAAUUGAUACUGGCAGGCUUGAGUGCAGUAGAGGUAGGGGGAAUUCGUGGUGUAGCGGGGAAAUGCUUAGAUAUCACGAAGAACUCCGAUUGCGAAGGCAGCUUACUAAACUGCAACUGACAUUGAGGCUCGAAAGUGGGGGUAUCAAACAGGAUUAGAUACCCGUGUAGUC
rnacentral:rRNA from 1 species